rnacentral:rRNA from 1 species
AGAGUUUGAUCAUGGCUCAGAACGAACGUUGGCGGCGUGGAUUAGGCAUGCAAGUCGAACGCGAAAGAGGUAGCAAUACCUCGAGUAAAGUGGCGAACGGGUGAGUAACGCGUAGGAAACCUGCCUUCGAGUGGGGGAUAACAUUCCUAACGGGAUGCUAAUACCGCAUGUGACUACGGAGUCGCAUGGCUCUGUAGUGAAAGGUGGCCUCUGUUUACAAGCUACCGCUCAAAGAUGGUCCUGCGUCCCAUUAGCUAGUUGGUGGGGUAACGGCCUACCAAGGCGACGAUGGGUAGCCGAUCUGAGAGGAUGACCGGCCACACUGGGACUGAGAUACGGCCCAGACUCCUACGGGAGGCAGCAGUCGAGAGGCUUCGGCAAUGGGGGAAACCCUGACCGAGCGACGCCGCGUGGAGGAUGAAGGCCUUUGGGUUGUAAACUCCUGUCAUGAGGGAAGAAACGUCACCGUUCGAAUAGGGCGGUGACUUGACGGUACCUCAAGAGGAAGCUCCGGCUAACUCCGUGCCAGCAGCCGCGGUAAUAC